CGCGUAUCCCUAACCCUAAACUUUCUUAUUCUAUGUGCAGAUUCUAAAUCUAAAUCUAAAUCUAAAUCUAAAUCUAAGAGGCGCAGAUACGAGUUAUGGCGGAGAUGCUUCGACUACUAAAGAAGCCGAUGAUGACGACGUGGAGAACCGAUCUUCCUUUAAGGUUCGGCAUCAUGCUCUUUAACCAGUUCAAUUAUUUUUUUCUAGAUCCGUUUUGCGCUAGCAUAAUUUAGGGAUUUUGUCGUAGCCAGUAGAUAUGGUAAUUAAAGAACUAAAGAAUUUCUCUUUGAUUUGAAGGGUUAGUGAAACAAAAAGGGUAACUGUACUGAGUCCCUCCUCUGUGUUGCUAUUUAUUUUGAUUUGUGCUAUCAUAAUUUAGGGGUUUGGUUAUAGUAAGGUUAAUUUUUCUUUGGAUAUAGUAACUAAAGAGCAGAAGAAUUUCUCUUUGAUUUGAAGGGUUAGUUAAACAAAAAAGGUAAUUGUACUAAAUCCCUGUGUUGCUAUAUUUAUUUAUGGACAGGCUCGUAUUAUUAGGUCGAUGUUCAUGGCAUUUCAUAAUUUUGUAUACGGAUGGAGAACAAAGGUUGAGGGGUUUUUGCAAAUGAUGGGUCGUGCUUCAACAAGAUAAUUCUAGAAGAUACCCACUGUACAUGUAAGUUUGAUCUUUUAGUAUUUGAGGAAAUGUUGAUCUUUUUAAUUUAUUAUUCGUCUUAUAGAUUGAGCUAUAGUAUCUUCUUAUUGUCUUAUAGUCUGUUUGUCCAUAAAUUAACUCAUUUCCUUCAUCAGAGUAAAAUCAGCAGGGUUUCUAGUUUCUGUUGGCAGUGCACGCUUCAUCACUAGUAUGAGCAUCCACAACAUUACACCUUAAGUGACUCCACACCUAUUGCAAAACGAAGGGCUUGAUAUUCAAUACUGGGGGAUCCACUACAUCACACCUUAAGUGGAUGCCAGAUGACUGAUCAUUCAUCAUUCUCUUGCCCUUGGAAGAGAAGUUACGCAAGUGACCCUGAUGCCAUGGCAGCACCGUGGAUUAAGGGAGCAGAAGCCAGAUGUCCUAACAGAUGUCAUAACAGCGCAGAGUUUUGGAAUGCCUGAUUCCUAGAUUUGCAAAAUAUAACCUUCUUUCCCUCGCUCUAUAGUUGUUAAUACCAUUCCAUGGAGGGUACCCUAAUACCCUUUCGGAUUUAUCAGACACUAAAAAUGAUAAUUUUAUGUGUAAUUGUUGAAUACUUGUAUGAAAGCACAUAAUUUAUCUUUCUAAGUACCCCCAUCAUGAUCCUCUUUCUAACUCAAUGAUUUGAGUGCUGCUGAACGUUUAAUAACGUAGUAAUUUAAUAAUGUAGUUGUCUUAAGAAACUUUAGCUAUACAAAUUUACCUUUACGGAAUUUGUAGUAGUAUAUUCACAUUUCACUUGUAAGUGGUGCAUCUAUACAAGUUUACCCUCCCUGAACUUGCUUUGGUUCAAAAUCAUAAAGUUAAG
rnacentral:lncRNA from 1 species